GGCCGCGGUAUCCUGACCGUGCAAAGGUAGCAUAAUCAUUUGUUCCUUAAUUAGGGACUUGUAUGAAUGGCCCCACGAGGGUUUGACUGUCUCUUACUUUUAAUCAGUGAAAUUGACCUCCCCGUGAAGAGGCGGGGAUAUGAAAAUAAGACGAGAAGACCCUAUGGAGCUUAAAUUAAUAUGUUCAACAGAAUUUACAUYKCACCCAACAGGRAUAAUUAUAAUUUAACUGARCAUAAAAUUUUGGUUGGGGUGACCUCGGAGAAUAAASRAGCCUCCGAGCAAUUUAACCRAGACUAACCCGUCAAAGUCACAUUACUUAUUGAUCCAAUCCUAUUGAUCAACGAAACAAGUUACCCUAGGGAUAACAGCGCAAUCCUAUUUGAGAGUUCAUAUCGACAAUAGGGUUUACGACCUCGAUGUUGGAUCAGGACACCCCAAUGGUGCAGCAGCU
rnacentral:rRNA from 1 species